rnacentral:lncRNA from 1 species
GCUAUUGCAGAGAGGGUAAUUUUCACCAAGCACUUGUUUUGCACUCGGAGAUGUUAAGGAAUGGAUUAUCUCCAGAUUUUGUGACUUAUACAUCUUUGAUAAACAGCAUGUGCAAGUGGGAAUUUGCAUCGCGCAAUGGAAUUCUUUGAUAAAUUAAGCGCUAGGGGAUUAUAUCCCAACGAGAGAACUUACACAACAUUAAUUGUUGGCUUCUCCCAUCAGGGGUUUAUGAAUGAGGUUUAUAAACUUUUGAAUUAAAUGAUCUCAACUGGCUUUUCCCCUUCAAUCGUGACUUACAAUGCUUUAGUUAACGGACAUUGUGCAUUGGGAAGGAUGGAAGAUGCUUUAAGUGUAAUUCAAGAGAUGGAACGGAGAGGGGGUAGUCCCAGAUGUUGUAACUUAUAGUACAUUGAUAUCUGGGUUCCGUAGAAACCACAAUUUAGAAAGGGCAUUCUGUGUUAAGCAGCAGAUGGUUGAGAAAGGGGUUUCACCUGAUGUUAUUACUUAUUCAUCCCUAAUUCAAGGUCUUUGCGAGCAGCAAAGCUUGACUCAAGCUCGUGAGCUUUUCCAGGAGAUGUUGAGAGUGGGUAUUCAACCUGAUAAGUUUACAUAUACUACACUUAUUGGUGCAUACUGUUUAGAAGGGGAUAUUAAAGGCGCUCUUAACCUGCAUAAUGAAAUGAUAAGAAGCUCGUGAGCUUUUCCAGGAGAUGUGGAGAGUGGGUAUUCAACCUGAUAAGUUUACAUAUACUACACUUAUUGGUGCAUACUGUGUAGAAGGGGAUAUUAAAGGCACUCUUAACCUGCAUAAUGAAAUGAUAAAUAAGGGUUUCUUUCCUGAUGUUGUCACUUACAGUGUCCUAAUCAACGGGCUCAAC